rnacentral:lncRNA from 1 species
UCUGUGGUUUAACCCACAGCACCACCCGCGUCCCUAGAUGUCCCUUAGUCAUAUUAUAAAGCAGUUGUGUUCUGUGUUAUAAAUCGAGCAGUGCCAGGAGUUGUUUCGUUUUGUUUUACAAUGCAUUGCUUAUCAGGAAAAAAGAAAAAUCAGUGUGGCAUGAUUAAAUUUUCGUUCUGAUAGUGUGGCCCAUUCUGAGCAGGGGAGCCAGAGUGCCAGGGCGGCCCCUCCACCAAACUCGGCCACAGACCAGCCUGCCAACUUUGUCCAAGUUCAGCUUGUUAAGAGCAGGGAACUUCCCUUCUGCACCUUAACUGGUUUCUGUCCUCCUCACCUGGCUCCAGGUAUGUUUCUGGGCCACAAUAAGCUUUUGCACAAAGCUUAGCUACGAUUCUGUAAACAUCAAAGCUGUCCAACCAGUCUUUGCCACCUAUGUGAGGGGAGCCAGCCGCAAAGCCAGGGCUUAUCCGGCAGAGCCACGCACACGUUCCAAACCAGUGUGGAGCCUGUCUGCUGGGGCUUCACUUUUCAUGUGCCGCACUUGUUUUCCUCCCAAAGAUCCAGGCAGGGGCAACACAGAGGCUGGUCUGGGCCAGAUCUUGGGAAUCCCCCAGGCAGCUGCAGGAAUGACCUGAAGCAAGAGGCGUAAAUGUUCAGGAACAAACAGAACCUAAACCCAAGUUAAUUAAAACAAAACAAAACCCCGAAACAACAAAAAUGCAUUCUAGUUUAGGCUUCAGGCGAUUUCAGAGAUGGAAAAACAAGCAUUAUAAGUAGAACAAGUUAGGAUGUUAUGCACAGGGGAUCCCCAAACCCCUUUUUUCUGAGAGAAAGAGACCUCACUUCACGCAGAAAGAUUCCUUGUGCCGUUGUCUCUGCUCAGGAGUGCAGAGAAAAUGUGGCUGGAGGUAUAUUUCUUUUUUUAAGGGGCACAGAGUCAUCAGCAGGUGGCAGACUUGGGGAGGCACCUGGUCUGGGUUGGCACCUCUCAGCAAAUACCUGGGGAGGGCUCUGAAUGGAUGUGGAAUCCAUGUUGCCUGCCUGCAGGGAAGACAGCUGUGGUGGACGGCAAAACUGCUUCUGCUUCUAGCAGCCGGCCUAAUAGGCAUGCGGUGCUUUGUGGGGCUCACAUGGGGCUGGUCCUCACUGCGUUUGCAGAUGCAUGUGUCCCAGUUUAAUUUGCGUCCUUCACAUGAUGUUACUGCCAAACAAUACCAGGCUUAAUGCUUUCCCCUUGGAAAUUUGGGUUUACCUGAUACGGCAGGAAUAGGGAACCUUUGGCCCGCCAUAUUUUGCUGAACUACAGCUCCCAUCAACAAGACCAGGAGGGGGUCCAGUGGUCAAGAAGGCAGUUUCUGCAUGAACUAAAGAGGGAUGUGAGGGGCUCGUCUACCUGGGAAGGAAGCCCACCUAGGAGAAGGAAAACUCUGGUCCUAAACCCCCACUGCCUUCCGGGAUCUCUUUGGAAGAAGAAAAGGCUCAGGAGUAAACCAAAGGGGAGUCCCUAAGGCGGUUGGGUGGUGCCUGGUACGCCUCCUUCGGGCAAUUUCUGCAGCCAGGUUGGUGCCAAAGUCUCGCUCUGCUUUCCUUUGCAAUGCCGAGAGGGGGGUCUUGUCGUCUGGGCAGCCCAGGACCUCCAGACACACAGCCCAGGCUUGCACCCCAGGGAAGUCACUUCAGUGCUGCUAACACAGUGGUUGGACUUCACCCCUGGAGGCAGACUCCAUUGUCUCUCGAGUUAGACGGAGGCCAGCAACUCCCAUCAGUAGCCCUGGCUAUUGGCCUUACUUGCUCUAGUUGGGUACCUUCUGGAGGGCCCAAGGUUCUCCAUGCUUGCGUAUGGGGAAGAUGCAACACGUCAGGGGGAAACUGGGCUCCAGACCUCUCUGCUGGGGGUCGCCAGCGAUUUGUUUCAGUGUUUCUGGGUGGGCGGUUCUGCUCCUCCCCUUUCCAUGCCUGCUGCUUCCCCAUGACUUUUCCAGCUGUGCUCUUAACUAUUUCCAGUGCUUUCCGGAAGGAAGGAAUAUUCUUUUUUGUUUGAUCCCUCAGAUCAAAACCAGAAAAUUGCAGAAGCAAACCGCAUUGGAAAUCUAUACACCCGAUAUACUGGGCAGCGUUCUGAAAAGCGUUUGCUGAAAAUUUAUAAUUGCUUUCAUUCUCUUCCGCCCCCAGUUUGCUAGUAGGAGCACUUCAGGAGCUCAGCCAUUUAUAUAUAAUCACAUCAUGUGUGUGUACAUAUAUUUUUGUAUCACUCAGACUUGCACAAAUCUUGCACAAGUAAGUUACAAUAGGCUGGCUCCGUGCUUUUGCAGACUUCUUGGGUGGGAAAUUUUAUUUUAAAAAGCAAGGCUCAUGCUCUGCGAUCUGUGCCAUCGGAUGGCAGGGACAGAUCCAAAAGGGAACAGGAAAGAGGAAGUUGCUCCUCAUAUAUAAAUUCAAAUAUGUGCAGGUGUGCAUUGCUCUGCAUCUAAUUUGAAUGGGGGCGGGAUGGAAUAGCAGCUGAAUGAUGCUCCAAUGUGGACAAGACCUUGGUGCCUUGCAGAGCAUCCUGGCCAUCUCCUUUUGACUGGCACCUCCCUGCUAAGCAGCUGGCUGGCACCUGCUCUCUCUAGUUAUUAUAUUCAGCUUUUUAAAAAAAAUCUGUUUUGCUUUUCGGUUUCAUGAAUCUACAAGGAGGCUUCCAAUUUAACAAUUUCACAAGAACAACAAAAGCAAUAUUAAAAGAAGCCAAAGAUAGAAAGAACCAAACGAUUUGCAGAUGGAAAACAAUGAAACUCAGAAGCAAAUGCAAAACUGAAAAACUAAAAGCUGCAAGCCUUGGGCAAACAGAAAGCCCUUUCCCCCAAACCUGAAACUCCUUCCAGCUGGCCUCACAGGAGCAGUCCAAGCAUUGGUGGUCAGUCGGGUGGGUUGGAGGUCUUGGGUUUUGGCCUCAAGAGCCUUUUGGCCCUUUCUGUGAUGUGCUGUAAAGGGAUUUCUUUUUGGUUGGAGGGGAGGGCAAAGAGCUCCCCCUUGGCCUUCAUUCUUCCUGGCCAUUGGCAAAGCCAGUUGCUGGUUUUACACAGUGAGGCGUUCCCAAAGCAAAGGAAGGAUUGAACUCUGAUUAAUAAGAAUACACACAGAGGCUUGAACCAGCAAGACUCUGGGAAGGGUGCAUAUAAUAAUCUCUCUCUCCACCCUCCGGCUCAGGUCCUUUUAUUCACAAGAACCUUUUACAGAGUGUUUGUAAGAACCAAUCAGAUUUCUUUCUUUUUUUUAAAUAAUAUUUAUUAUUUUUGCAAAAACUUAAACACUAAAAAGAAGAUAAACAAUACAAUACAACACAUCAAAUU